UAUUGGUCAAUAGCUUAACGGCUGAACCAGCAACUUGGAGGAAUGUAUAGGGAAAACUGGUAAAAUGUGAUGUACCUAGUAAUAUAAGAAGUCUUAUAUUAAUUACCUCUAUUACCUAGUAAUAUAAGUAAUAAAUAUGAGAUUAUUCUAUAUGAGAUUAACUAAGUUAAUUAAAAUUCUAAGCAGAUGUUUGAUUAUGACAAUAUCUGUAGAGGUCUUGACCAAGUCACGUGCCAGCAGUCGCGGUAAUACGUGGAAGACAAGUGUUAUUCAUCUUUAUUAGGUUUAAAGGGUACCUAGACUGUUAAUUAAGCAAUAAGAUGUACUAAUUAACUAGAGUUUAAUGUAAGAAGGAUUGAGUACAGUGAGUGUAGAGAUAAAAUUCUUAGAUACCACUUCGGAACUGGUAACAGCGAAGGCUACCUUCAAUGUAAAAACUGACGUUGA
rnacentral:rRNA from 1 species